GCCACAGCCCGGAGGGUCCCAGGGCCCCGCCCCGCCGGAGAGAGCGCGGCCUCCGCAGGCACCAUCGGAGGUCCGGGCGGCCGCCGGCCCCGCGGCUUGAUGGAUGAUCCCACACAGAAUCACUGAAUCAGUUAUGUUGGAAAAGACUUCUACAAUCAUUGAGUCCAGCCUGUGAAGGAUCAUAACCUUGUCAACUAGACCAGAGCCCAUCCAGGCUUUCCUUAAACAUCUCCAGGGAUGGUGACUCUACCACCUCCCUUGGCAGACCCUUCCAAUAUUUAAUCACCUUUUCUGUGAAAAUUCCUCUUAACGUACAACCUGAACUUCCCUUGCACAGCUUAAGACCCUGUCUUCUCAUUCUGUUGCUGGUUGCCUGGGAGAAGAGGCUAAUCCCCACCUGGGUAAACCUCCUUUCGGGUAGUUAAAGAAGUAAUGGUAAAAGCCACAAGCUUUUCAAGUAAUGAAAUAAUUUGAUGGAGGUUGUUCUGGUCAGAAGACAUUAUUAUGUAAAAAUGAAAUAAAGCUUAGAAAAAAAAAACAGGAUACAGAAAACUGGAUGGUAGGAAGUGGGUAAGGGCUUCCUCUCCAAAUAUGUCCAAAAGUAGGUAGAGUACCUGUGAAAUUACAAAUGCUGAUGGCAAGUGAGGAUUGUUUCAGGUGUAAUACUGCUGUAGUUUUAAGAAUUCAGCUGUGAUACAUCCUUUAUGUAUCUUCACAUAAAAAGUUCUAUUGUCCUGGAGAUAUGCUGGGCUGUAGGAACAAUAAUCCAAAGACACAAAAUGGUCAAAAGUAUAAGUUUUCAAAACAGUGCAUAAAGGCAAAACAAAAAAACCCAUACUUAUUUGAUUCCUUUUGAACUUCAAAUAUUUUAAGCUUUCUUUGUUUACUAUGAGCAGGAUUAAAGCUGUCUUUUACAUGAGGAAGUCUUGUCAUCAAGUGCUCCUGACCAAUCAUAACAUCUGUUUAUUUGGCAUUAAUUGUUUGCCUGAAUUCUACCUUGGAUAUGUAGCUGAAGUAGUUUUGAGUAGUCAUUUAAGCUAAUGCUAAAGAUAACUGGUGCACCCCAUUGGUUUGACUUUACUUGGCAGUCACCAACAUUCAUGGACAGUGAAAUGUAUAAAUUAGUUAAUCAGAUAAGUAAUCUUUUUCAGGUCGUAUAAGUGUUCAUGCUGAUACAAGGAAACACAAAAAAAAAGAGCAGGAUCAUUUUCAAUUCUAGUAGUAGUAUAGGAGCAUGAUUGCAUAAUGUUAGAGUGAAUUUUAAAACACUGAAAAUCUGUUUCAGUAGGAAAAAAUUACUUCUUCUCACAUUACUAAUAAGAAAAUUGUAUGUUCUGCCCAAUUAUGAAAGACCUUUUCUCUUCCAAAUUGCUUCACGAAACAGAACUACUGGCAUGCUAAACUCCUUUUUGGGGCUCUGAGCAAGCCAGACCAGAAUAGCAGUAUUAAAAUUAAAUUAGCUAUUGCACAUAUUUAUGAGCUGCCACUUCUGACCAAAGUCUCUGUUGAUAUUGGUUGUAUCAUUUGAAGCACUAUACAAGUAUGUUAUGGCUGUUACCUUCUAGAUAUGUGUAUAUUUGCAUAGGAACUAUCCAAAUGAAAUGAAAUUAAAGCAAGGACUUGUUUAUAAAGUGGACUUACUGAGGUCUGCUGGAUGGUGGUUUUUAUGUGGAGACUCAUUCUUCAGUGCUUUAUAUGUAAUGGAAAGAAAAUAGACUUAAUAUUUUUCAAAACCCAGUAGUAAUACUAGAAGCACUUUCUUUAAAAAUAAAAAUUAGUUUACAUUACUACUUGGAAAUUUCAAAAAUUAUCUUCUACUGUAGAAUGCAGAAAUCCCUGAAACUGUUCUUCCUGCACAGUAGCCUUUGAAGUGUACAUAUAUAUUUUAAAUAAUCCUCUUGAUUAUUCAAGUCUUAUUCACAGUAUGUUUCCAAGUGUGUCUAUAGAACAUUUAACAGGGAUUAUAUACUGUAUUAGUGUUGAACAUACAAUCUGUAUUCUGAUAAAUUAUUCUUAAAGGAA